AGAGUCCUACGGGAGGCAGCAGUGAGGAAUAUUGGUCAAUGGGGGAAACCCUGAUGCAGCGACGCCGCGUGAGCGAAGAAGUAUUUCGGUAUGUAAAGCUCUAUCAGCAGGGAAGAAAAUGACGGUACCUGAGUAAGAAGCUCCGGCUAAAUACGUGCCAGCAGCCGCGGUAAUACGUAUGGAGCAAGCGUUAUCCGGAUUUACUGGGCGUAAAGGGAGCGUAGGCGGCCUGCCAAGUCUGAUGUGAAAUACCGGGGCUCAACCCCGGGGCUGCAUUGGAAACUGGCAGGCUGGAGUGCCGGAGG
rnacentral:rRNA from 1 species